UACGUAGGUGGCAAGCGUUGUCCGGAAUUACUGGGCGUAAAGCGUGCGCAGGCGGUUGGUUAAGUCUGAUGUGAAAGCCCCGAGCUCAACUUGGGAAUGGCAUUGGAAACUGGCUGGCUAGAGUGUGGCAGAGGGGGGUGGAAUUCCGCGUGUAGCAGUGAAAUGCGUAGAGAUGCGGAGGAACACCGAUGGCGAAGGCAGCCCCCUGGGCUGACACUGACGCUCAGGCACGAAAGCGUGGGGAGCAAACAGG
rnacentral:rRNA from 1 species